CCUACGGGAGGCAGCAGUGGGGGAUAUUGCACAAUGGGGGGAACCCUGAUGCAGCGACGCCGCGUGGGUGAAGAAGCGCCUCGGCGCGUAAAGCCCUGUCAGCAGGGAAGAAAAUGACGGUACCUGAAGAAGAAGCCACGGCUAACGACGGGCCAGCAGCCGCGGUAAGACGUAGGGGGCAAGCGUGAUCCGGCUUUACUGGGGGUAAAGGGGGCGCAGACGGCGCUGCAAGCCAGGAGUGACAGCCCGGGGCCCCACCCCGGGACUGCUCUUGGAACUGCGUGGCUGGAGUGCAGGAGGGGCAGGCGGACUUCCUGGUGUAGCGGUGAAAUGCGUCGAUAUCAGGAGGAACACCGGUGGCGAAGGCGGCCUGCUGGACUGCAACUGACGUUGAGGCCCGAAAGCGUGGGGAGCAAACAGGAUUAGCUACCCCGGUAGUC
rnacentral:rRNA from 1 species